AUGCCCAUCAUCGCCUACGUGCUACUACCCUUCUUCUCCUUGCUCUGUAGUUCGGCUUUGCCUCUGCCCCUUCACCCGGCGCAGCCCACAUCCCAGCCCCAGCAUGUGUACAUCGUCCACACCAUCGGUGUGCAGCCCUACCACACCCUGCUCCCAGUCGCAGCUAGCAACAGAGUGAUCCACGAGUACUCCACUGUCCUGACCGGCUUCGCCUGCCGGAUGACCGCCGAGGAGGCCCGCCACAUGUCCGGCCUCCCCGGCGUCAGAGCCGUCUACCAGAGCAGGGUCUUGCACACGCAGACCACAAGGUCCCCUGCCUUCCUCGGCCUCCAGGAGGAGUCCGGCGCCUGGCCGGAGUCGGACUUCGGCGACGGCGUGAUAAUCGGCCUGGUGGACACCGGCAUCACGCCAGCCCACCCCAGCUUCCACGACGCCGGCCUGGGCCCCGUCCGCUCGUCCUGGAAGGGGAGGUGCGUGCAAGGCCACGGCUUCGACGACAGCUCCUGCAACAACAAGCUCGUCGGCGCCAGAGCCUUCCUCGACGAGCUGGUCGACGGCGAGCGCGACUUCACGCCCGUCGAUCGGGACGGCCACGGCACCCACGUCGCCGCCACGGCCGCUGGCUCACCGGUGCCUGGCGCAAACCUCCUGAACUUUUCGCGAGGCGACGCGACGGGCACCGCGCCGAAAGCCAAGAUCGCCAUUUAUAAGGUCUGCUACCGCUCUCCCGGGGGCUGCCCGGACUGGGCCAUCGUGGCGGCCGUCGACGCCGCGGUGAGCGACGGCGUGGAUAUCAUCUCCAUGUCGCUCGGCGCAGGCCCGACGCCCUUCUACGACGACGUGGUGGCGGUCGCCACGUUCGGCGCGGUCCGGGCGGGCGUGUUCGUGGUCCUCGCGGGCGGUAACGCCGGGCCGAACGCGUCCACGGUGUCCAACGCCGCGCCGUGGAUGACCACCGUGGGCGCGGCCACCCUGGACCGCGUCUUCCCGGCGACGCUCAAGCUGGGCAACAGGGUUGAGCUCACCGGACAGUCCCUUUACAACAUCAAAUCGCAAGGCACGACGGCAAUCGGGCUCAUCGGAAGCACCUGCGACACCGACGAUCUGACGCCCGACCGGGUCAUGGGCAAGGUGGUGGUGUGCUCGGGCAUGGCAGGAGCCUAUACCGGCAGGUAUGUCCAGCGAGCCGGGGGCGCUGGCAUGGUCAGCACGGAGGCCAUCGAGCGAUGGGGAGAGGCGGUGAUGGCGGAGCCGUUCGGCCUGCCCGGGCUCAAGCUCAGCUACACGGCCGGGAAGACGCUGGAGAGCUACAUCUCGUCCACAGCCUACCCCGUCGCCUCCUUCAUCUUCAGGUGCGACACGGUGACCGGGUCCGGCGCGAGCCGUGCACCGUUGGUGGCCGGGUUCUCCUCCCGCGGCCCCAGCCAAUUCAACCCAGAGAUCAUCAAGCCGGACGUCAUCGCGCCCGGCGUCAAUAUCCUGGCGGCGUGGAACCAGAAGCCGGAGGGGGGAACGGAGGAGGACUACUACCUUAACAUUAUCUCGGGCACGUCGAUGGCGUGCCCGCACGUCGUCGGCGUGGCGGCGCUUAUCAAGAAGCAGCACGGUGAUUGGACGCCGGCCAUGAUCCGCUCGUCUUUGAUGACCACUGCGACGAUGCUGGACAACCGGAAGCUGCCCAUCGUGGACAGCGGCAACGACGUCGAGGCGACGCCCCUGGUGGCCGGUGCAGGGAUGGUCGUCCCGACGCUCGCCAUGGACCCGGGCCUGGUGUACGACGCCGGCGCUCAGGACUACAUCGACUUUCUCUGCAGCGUCGGCUACACGGCGGCGCAAAUCCGGCGUUUCGAGCCCGGGUUUGUCAAGUGCACCAGCACGGCGGCGACUCCGGGAGGCGCGGCCAACCUUAACUACCCGUCGAUGGUGGUCAUGUUCGACGGUGGCGUUGUCAUGCGCAGGGUCCGUAGGACGCUGACGGCGGUGUCGCAGCAGGAGGAACUCUACGAGGUGACCGUGACCGCGCCAGACGGGGUCGCGGUCACCGUCACGCCCAGGCAGCUCCACUUCAGCCAGUACAUGGAGAAGAAGACGUACAUCCUGGACUUCAAGCUCAAUACUGAGGCGGUGAAGCCGGCGGGGACAUGGGAGUUCGCCGAGAUCGCGUGGAAGAGCAAGCACCACCACGUCCGGAGCCCGGUGGCGUUCGGCUACUGA
rnacentral:rRNA from 1 species